rnacentral:sRNA from 1 species
GGUAUUCCUUAUCUAUCUGAUUACGUUAAUUUGUCUGGAACCUGUCCCAUUGCAUACUUGCCAGAGCUGGAAAUACACAAUAAGACAGGUUCUGCGUGAGUUGCCGCGCGUUU